AUGUUCAAUUUCAGGAAAAAGUUUGAUAUUUAAUAACCGUACCCAAAACCGACACUGGUGAACAAGUCGAAUAGACUCAGGCGUUGAGAUAACCAUGCUGAAGGAACUCGGCAAAAUAUUCCCGUACCUUAGGAAGAAGGGAAACCAAAUAUUGGUGACACAAAAAUGAGGGUGACGACUUUUUACUAAAAAAUUAGGACUCUGCAAAAUGGUAA
rnacentral:rRNA from 1 species